rnacentral:rRNA from 1 species
AGUAAAUAGAUACCCGGGUAGUCCACGCCCUAAACGAUGCAUAUUUGGUGUGGGCAGUUCAUUCUGUCCGUGCCGGAGCUAAACGCGUUAAAUAUGCCGCCUGGGGAGUACAGUCGCAAGGCUGAAACUCAAAGGAAUUGACGGGGGCCCGCACAAGCGGUGGAGCAUGUGGUUCAAUUCGACGCAACGCGAAGAACCUUACCUGGGCUCGAACGGCUGGUCAACGGCGGUGGAAACAUCGCUACCCCGCAAGGGGGUCCAGUCGAGGUGCUGCAUGGCUGUCGUCAGCUCGUGUCGUGAGAUGUUGGGUUAAGUCCCGCAACGAGCGCAACCCUUGUCCUGUGUUGCCAUGUCGAAAGACGGAACUCGCAGGAGACCGCCAGGGAUAACCUGGAGGAA